CUCAAAGGAAUUGACGGGGACCCGCACAACCGGUGGAGCGUCCUGGUUUAAUUCGAUGCUAACCGAAUAACCUCACCAGGGUUUGACAUGCGGUGUGUCGGGUAUGAAAAGUACCUUAGGCUAUGAUUAUUCAUARCCGCGCCGCACAGGUGGUGCAUGGUCGUCGUCAGCUCGUGUCGUGAGAUGUUGGGUUAAGUCCCGCAACGAGCGCAACCCCUUGUCSUGUGUUACCAGCGGGUAAUGCCCGGGUACUCACAGGAGACUGCCGCCGAUAAGCCGGAGGAAGGAGGGGAURACGUCAGAUCAGUAUGCCCUUUAUGCCCUGGGCUACACAGGCGCUACAGUGGCAGGGACAAUGGGCUGCAACGCUGCAAGGCAAAGCUAAUCCCUUAAACCCUGUCGUGGUGCAGAUUGAGGGUUGCAACUCACCCUCAUGAAGGCGGGAUCGGUAGUAAUGGCGAAUCAGCAAUGUCGCCGUGAAUACGUUCCCGGGUCUUGUACACACCGCCCGUCACGCCAUGGGAGUUAGGUUCAUCGGAAGUCCCCAAGCUAACCUGCAAAGGAGGCAGGGGUCGAUGAUGGGCCUGAUGACUGGGGCGAAGUCGUAACAAGGUAGC
rnacentral:rRNA from 1 species